GUUCCUAAACCACCUUAUUCCCCAAGCCCUAAACCGCCUUACGUGCCAAAACCACCUCAUACUCCAGUCCCUAGGCCACCAUAUUUCCCCAAACCACCUUACACACCAAGGCCUAAGCCACCAUAUGCGCCAAAACCACCUUAUACGCCAACCCCUAAGCCACCAUAUUUCCCCAAACCACCUUACACACCAAGGCCGAAGCCACCAUAUGUGCCAAAACCACCUUAUACGCCAGCCCCUAAGCCACCAUAUUUUCCCAAACCACCUUACACACCAAGGCCUAAGCCACCAUAUGCACCAAAACCACCUUAUACGCCAACACCUAAGCCACCAUAUUUCCCCAAACCACCUUACACACCAAGGCCUAAGCCACCGUACGUGCCAAAACCACCGUACACACCAAGGCCUAAGCCACCGUACGUGCCAAAACCACCAUACACACCAACCCCUAAGCCACCGUACGUGCCAAAACCACCUUACACCCCAACCCCUAAGCCACCGUACGUG
rnacentral:lncRNA from 1 species